rnacentral:rRNA from 1 species
ACGGGUGAGUAAUGCUUAUCUUACUUGCCAAUUAGUGGGGGAUAACCAUAGGAAGCUUUGGGUAAUACCGCAUGUCUUGGUUUCGACCAAGAAAGGACUUUGUUUUGAAAAAAAUUUGGUUCGCUAAUUGAUAGGGAUAAGCCGUAUUAGUUAGUUGGUAGGGUAAUGGCCUACCAAGGCAAUGAUGCGUAGCCAGUCUGAGAGGAUGAAUGGCCACAAGGGAACUGAGACACGGUCCCUACUCCUACGGGAGGCAGCAGUGAGGAAUUUUCGGCAAUGGGGGCAACCCUGACCGAGCAAUACUACGUGAAGGAAGAAGGUCUGCGGAUUGUAAACUUCUGUUAGCACGGAAGAAGGAUUAGACGUGAGUCUAAUUUUGACGGUACGUGCAGAGAAAGUCACGACUAACUAUGUGCCAGCAGUCGCGGUAAGACAUAGGUGGCGAACAUUAUCCGGAAUUAUUGGGCGUAAAGGGUGCGUAGACGGCGUUAUAAGUUAUUGGUGGCAAAUUGAGGCUCAACCUCAUGGAAGCUAAUAAUACUGUCAUGCUUGAGUGUAGGAGAAGUUAACAGAAUUUCAUAUGGAGCGGUAAAAUGUGGAUAUAUGAAGGAAUAUCAAAGGCGAAGGCAGUUAACUAUUCUACUACUGACGUUGAGGCACGAAAGCGUGGGGAGCAAAACGGAUUAGAUACCCGUGUAGUCCACGCCCUAAACGAUGAGUGCUAGAUAUUGGGAACUUGAUUCUCAGUGUCGCUAGUUAACACAGUAAGCACUCCGCCUGGGUAGUACGAUCGCAAGGUUGAAACUCAAAGGAAUUGACGGGGACUCGCACAAGCAGUGGAGCAUGUGGUUUAAUCCGAUGCGACGCGUAGAACCUUACCAAGGCUUGACAUGUUAGGCAAAGCUAGUGAAAGCUAGUAGAGGUUAUCCUAACACAGGUGCUGCAUGGUCAUCGUCAGUUCGUGCCGUGAGGUGUAUGGUUAAGUCCUAUAACGAACGCAACCUUUGUGCUUAGUUGCCAGCAUUAAGUUGGGGACUCUAAGCAGACUGCCAAGGUAACUUGGAGGAAGGAAGAGACGACGUUUGAUCGUCAUGGCCCUUAUGCCUUGGGCGACACACGUGCUACAAUGGUUAGGACAAAGGGUUGCCAACCCGCGAGGGGGAGCUAAUCUCAAAAAACUAACCUCAGUUCGGAUUGGAGGCUGCAACUCGCCUCCAUGAAGUCGGAAUUGCUAGUAAUCGCAAAUCAGCCAUGUUGCGGUGAAUACGUUCUCGAGCCUUGUACACACCGCCC